rnacentral:rRNA from 1 species
UGCAAGUCGUACGCUUCUUUUUCCACCGGAGCUUGCUCCACCGGAAAAAGAAGAGUGGCGAACGGGUGAGUAACACGUGGGUAACCUGCCCAUCAGAAGGGGAUAACACUUGGAAACAGGUGCUAAUACCGUAUAACAAUCGAAACCGCAUGGUUUUGAUUUGAAAGGCGCUUUCGGGUGUCGCUGAUGGAUGGACCCGCGGUGCAUUAGCUAGUUGGUGAGGUAACGGCUCACCAAGGCCACGAUGCAUAGCCGACCUGAGAGGGUGAUCGGCCACAUUGGGACUGAGACACGGCCCAAACUCCUACGGGAGGCAGCAGUAGGGAAUCUUCGGCAAUGGACGAAAGUCUGACCGAGCAACGCCGCGUGAGUGAAGAAGGUUUUCGGAUCGUAAAACUCUGUUGUUAGAGAAGAACAAGGAUGAGAGUAACUGUUCAUCCCUUGACGGUAUCUAACCAGAAAGCCACGGCUAACUACGUGCCAGCAGCCGCGGUAAUACGUAGGUGGCAAGCGUUGUCCGGAUUUAUUGGGCGUAAAGCGAGCGCAGGCGGUUUCUUAAGUCUGAUGUGAAAGCCCCCGGCUCAACCGGGGAGGGUCAUUGGAAACUGGGAGACUUGAGUGCAGAAGAGGAGAGUGGAAUUCCAUGUGUAGCGGUGAAAUGCGUAGAUAUAUGGAGGAACACCAGUGGCGAAGGCGGCUCUCUGGUCUGUAACUGACGCUGAGGCUCGAAAGCGUGGGGAGCAAACAGGAUUAGAUACCCUGGUAGUCCACGCCGUAAACGAUGAGUGCUAAGUGUUUGGAGGGUUUCCGCCCUUCAGUGCUGCAGCUAACGCAUUAAGCACUCCGCCUGGGGAGUACGACCGCAAGGUUGAAACUCAAAGGAAUUUGACGGGGGCCCGCACAAGCGGUGGAGCAUGUGUUUAAUUCGAAGCAACGCGAAGAACCUUACCAGGUCUUGACAUCCUUUGACCACUCUAGAGAUAGAGC